CUGUGGGUUUCCGCCUAUCAACACGGCGCAGCCGAGCACGCUCGGGGGGCUGGUCUGGGUUUCAUUCAGCCUCUAGAUAAAGGAGCCUCCUGCUGGGGUGCUCACCUGAAAUCCUACCACUCUGGGAGGCUGAGGCAAGAAGAUCACAAGUUCAAGUCCAGCCUAGCCAAUUUAGAAACUUAAAGAGACCCUAUGUCAAAAUAAAAAUAAACAAAUAAAAAGAAAU
rnacentral:lncRNA from 1 species